GAGGGUAUAGCUCAAGUGGUAGAGUGUGUGCUUAGCAUACACAGGGUCCUGGGUUCAAUCCCCAGUACCUCCU
rnacentral:tRNA from 1 species